ANAAUGNUUUAACAAUUAUAAGCUUUCUUUAAUUAAAUAAUUGAAUUUAAUUUAUUUGUGAAGAAGCAAAUAUAAAAAUUAGGGACAAGAAGACCCUGUGAAUUUUAAUUAUAUUAAUAAUUAUUAAUAAUUAUUAAUAUAGUUUGAUUGGGGCGAUAUAUAAAGAAUAAGAAUCUUUAUUAUAAAAAUUAGUUUGAUCCAUUAUUAAUGAUUUUUUGAAAAAAAUACUCCAGGGAUAACAGCGUAAUAAUUUUGGAUAGUUCAUAUAGAUAAAAUAGUUUGCGACCUCGAUGUUGGAUUAGGAUUCUUUAUUGGUGAAGAAAUUAAUAUUAAGAAGUUUGUUCA
rnacentral:rRNA from 1 species